GAUGAACGCUGGCGGCGUGCCUAAUACAUGCAAGUCGAGCGAAGCGGGGACGGGUGAGUAACACGUGGAUAACCUACUAUAAGACUGGGAUAACUUCGGGAAACCGGAGCUAAACCGGAUACUUAGAGAUGGAUCCGCGCUGCAUUAGCUAGGUGGUAAGGUAACGGCUUACCAAGGCAACGGUGCAUAGCCGACCUGAGCGCGUGUUCGGCCACCUGGGAACUGAGACACGGUCCAGACUCCUACGGUAGUCAGCAGUAGGGAAUCUUCCGCAAUGGGCGAAAGCCUGACGCAGCAACGCCGCGUGAGUUAUGAAGGUCUUCGGAUCGUAAAUCUCUGUUAUUGGGGAGGCGGUGCCUAAUCAGAAAGCCACGGCUCACUACGUGCCAGCAGCCGCGGUAAUAC
rnacentral:rRNA from 1 species